GAUAUGGAGUAAAUGUACAUAGGCUAAAUAGCACAAAAUACAUAGAAAAAGUACAGAUUAUUAAUGUACAGGUCUUUUUAUUGUUCUUCAUCUUCAUAGAUUACUGUCUUCAACAAUGAGCAAUCCAUUAAUACACUACAACGAAUCAAAACUGCGCCUAGUGUCGACUUAGGUGGUACAUGUACUAUUGGUCAAAUAUAAACCACAGUUCGCCAUCUUGUUCGCCAUCCGCCUCGGAGUGCCAAACUGUGUGAUGCCUAUGUACCACGGUUCUCCUGUCUAGAGCACCAGAGGUCGAAGUAAUAAAACUUUACUCAGUGCUCGAAGCACAAAAAUCAUGCUCGAAACAUGAAGUCCAGCAUUUUGGUUUGUUGAUUUUGGAAUGUGAGUAUGAAAAACUGACUCGAAAGUUUUACGACUUCAAGGCCAGGUAUACACUUAUAAGUUAAAAAGAAGUAAAUAAAGAUGAUU
rnacentral:lncRNA from 1 species